UACCAGCACCCCGAGUGGUCGGGACGUUUAUUGGGCCUAAAGCAUCCGUAGCCGGUUCUACAAGUCUUCCGUUAAAUCCAACGUGCUUAACAGGUGGGCUGCGGAAGAUACUAUAGAGCUAGGAGGCGGGAGAGGCAAGCGGUACUCGAUGGGUAGGGGUAAAAUCCGUUGAUCCAUUGAAGACCACCAGUGGCGAAGGCGGCUUGCCAGAACGCGCUCGACGGUGAGGGAUGAAAGCUGGGGGAGCAAACCGGAUUAG
rnacentral:rRNA from 1 species